UUGAUGUUCCCUCCGUCUGAAAAUUCUUGUCAUCAAAAUGAAUAAAAAAAGAUGUAUCUAGAACUAAAUUACAUCUAGAUACAUCAUCUUUUAUCCAUUUUGAUGACAAGUAUUUUCGGACGGAGGGAGUAUAUA
rfam:Triticum aestivum genome assembly, contig: Triticum_aestivum_CS42_TGACv1_scaffold_094828_2AL